GCAGUCGUAGCCGAUUGAUUAAGGCGAUGGACUGGAAAUCCAUUGGGGUCUUCCCGCACAGGUUCGAAUCCUGUCGAGUGCG
rnacentral:tRNA from 1 species